rnacentral:rRNA from 1 species
UGCCCUUUGGGGGAGGCUUACACAUGCAGUCGAGCGGUAGCACAGGGGAGCUUGCUCCCUGGGUGAACGAGCGGCGGACGGGUGAGUAAUGUCUGGGAAACUGCCUGAUGGAGGGGGAUAACUACUGGAAACGGUAUCUAAUACCGCAUAACGUCGCAAGACCAAAGAGGGGGACCUUCGGGCCUCUUGCCUUCAAAUGUUCCCACAG